AGAGUUUGAUCAUGGCUCAGGACGAACGCUGGCGGCGUGCUUAACACAUGCAAGUCGAGCGAGACCCCUUCUUCGGGAGGGUGUUCUAGCGGCGAACGGGUGAGUAACACGUGGGCAACCUGCCCUCAGCUCUGGGAUAACUCCAAGAAAUUGGGGCUAAUACCGGAUAUGACCGCUGACCGCAUGGUCUGGUGGUGGAAAGAUUUAUCGGCUGGGGAUGGGCCCGCGGCCUAUCAGCUUGUUGGUGGGGUAGUGGCCUACCAAGGCGACGACGGGUAGCCGGCCUGAGAGGGUGACCGGCCACACUGGGACUGAGACACGGCCCAGACUCCUACGGGAGGCAGCAGUGGGGAAUAUUGCGCAAUGGGCGGAAGCCUGACGCAGCGACGCCGCGUGGGGGAUGACGGCCUUCGGGUUGUAAACCUCUUUCAGCAGGGACGAAGCGAGAGUGACGGUACCUGCAGAAGAAGCACCGGCCAACUACGUGCCAGCAGCCGCGGUAAUACGUAGGGUGCAAGCGUUGUCCGGAAUUAUUGGGCGUAAAGAGCUCGUAGGCGGUUUGUUGCGUCGGCUGUGAAAUCCCGAGGCUCAACCUCGGGUCUGCAGUCGAUACGAGCAAACUAGAGUGUUGCAGGGGAGACUGGAAUUCCUGGUGUAGCGGUGAAAUGCGCAGAUAUCAGGAGGAACACCGGUGGCGAAGGCGGGUCUCUGGGCAACAACUGACGCUGAGGAGCGAAAGCGUGGGGAGCGAACAGGAUUAGAUACCCUAGUAGUCC
rnacentral:rRNA from 1 species